rnacentral:rRNA from 1 species
UUGUUAUUUUUUAACAAAUAUAAGAUGCAGUGUAUAGAAUAUCUAUUAUCUAGUAUAUUUAAUUAAUAGUUCAAGUCCUUCUUAAAUGGGGCCAUUUACCCAUAGAGGGUGAUAGGCCCGUAGAAACAUUAUUAAUUACUAGAAGAUAUUUCUUAAGAGUCGUGUUGCUUGAUAGUGCAGCACUAAUUUGGUGGUAAACUCCAUCUAAAACUAAAUAUAACCAUGAGACCGAUAGCAAACAAGUACCGUGAGGGAAAGUUGAAAAGAACUCUGAAUAGAGAGUUAAAAAGUACGUGAAACUGCUUAGAGGUUAAACCCGAUGAACCUAAAUAUCCAGUAUGAGAAAGUCAUUAUUAUGAGUAUAUUAUUUCAUAUAAUGUAUUAAUAGUGUGCAUUUUUUUCAUAAAAAGGACAUUGUAAUCUGUUAAUACAAUUUAUAUAUUUUUUUAUAUAUAAUUUUUAUCAUAAAGAAUCAUGUAUAAGUUUACAUAUCAAUUAUUUAAUUAAUUCAUGUAAGAUCGAUGAAUGUCUAGAUAAAUGGUUAACAGUAUUUGAAUAUAUAAUGCUUACAUAAUUUUUAUGUUUUAUAUAUAAUAUGUACAUGUACAUAUAUAUAUUUUUGCAUUUAUAUUAUUAACAAUGCUAUAGAUUUAGGAUACCUUCGGGACCCGUCUUGAAACACGGACCAAGAAGUCUAACAUGUGUGCAAGUCAUUGGGAUUUAUUAAAACCUAAAGGCGUAAUUAACUUAACUAAAAUUAAAUGGGAUUAUUAUGUAUAUAAAUUUAUAUAUAGAAUUCAUCCUGGGGCGUUCAAUUAAUUAAUAUUAUUUAAUGCAAUUUAUUGUAUAUAUUUAAUUAUUAAUUAGAGCGUACCUUGAGCAUACAUGUUGUGACCCGAAAGAUGGUGAACUAUACCUGAUCAGGUUGAAGUCAGGGGAAACCCUGAUGGAAGACCGAAACAAUUCUGACGUGCAAAUCGAUUGUCAGAAUUGGGUAUAGGGGCGAAAGACCAAUCGAACCAUCUAGUAGCUGGUUCCCUCCGAAGUUUCCCUCAGGAUAGCUGGUGCAUUUAAAUAUAAUAAAAUAAUCUUAUCUGGUAAAGCGAAUGAUUAGAGGCCUUAGGGCCGAAACGACCUUAACCUAUUCUCAAACUUUAAAUGGGUAAGAACCUUGCCUUACUUGAUAUGAAGGUAUUAGGUUAUGAUAUAUUGUGCCCAGUGGGCCACUUUUGGUAAGCAGAACUGGCGCUGUGGGAUGAACCAAACGUGAUGUUACGGCGCCUAAAUUAACAACUCAUACAGAUACCAUGAAAGGCGUUGCUUGCUUAAAACAGCAGGACGGUGGACAUGGAAGUCGUAAUCCGCUAAGGAGUGUGUAACAACUCACCUGCCGAAGCAACUAGCCCUUAAAAUGGAUGGCGCUAAAGUUGUAUGCCUAUACAUCACCGCUGAAACAAAUGAUUUAUAUUUAAAUAAAAAUAAUAAUUUUUAAAGUUUUAGUGAGUAGGAGGGUACAAUGAUGUGCGUAAAAAUGUUUGGCGUAGGCUAACAUGGAGCCAUCAUUGGCACAGAUCUUGGUGGUCGUAGCAAAUAAUCGAAUGAGACCUUGGAGGACUGAAGUGGAGAAGGGUUUCGUGUGAACAGUGGUUGAUCACGAGUUAGUCGGUCCUAAGUUCAUGGUGAAAACCAAAAAAUAUAUAUAUAUUGAUAUUUUAAAAAUGGAAUUGAAUGGAAUGAAAUGAAAUGAAAAUAUAUGAAAAUAUAUGAAAAAUGGAAUAAAAUUUUGAAAAAACACAAAAAAAGAAUUUUUUUAAAAAUAUAUAAAAUCAAUAAAUAUUAUAUGAACGAAAGGGAAUACGGUUCCAAUUCCGUAACCUGUUAAGUAUACGUUUGUUAUUAAAAAUGGGCUUUAAUGCUCAUCGUGGCAACACAAACAAUCAUAAAGAAACCGUCGAGAGGUAUCGGAAGAGUUUUCUUUUCUGUUUUAUAGUUGUAUUACCAUGGAAGUCUUUCGAAGAGAGAUAUGGUAAAUGAACUAGAAGAGCAUAGCAUAUACUGCUGUGUCGAUAUUUUCUCCUCGGGCCUUGAAAAUUUAUGGUAGGGUUACGCAAACUUCUUAACAGGCCGUACCAAUAAAAGCAGCUGGUCUCCAAGGUGAAGAGUCUCUAGUCGAUAGAAUAAUGUAGGUAAGGGAAGUCGGCAAAUUAGAUCCGUAACUUCGGGAUAAGGAUUGGCUCUGAAGAUUGAGAUAGUCGGGCUUGAUUGGGAAGCAAUAAAGUGGAUUUAUGUACUCAUUCUGAGUUUAAAUAUGAUUUAUGUAAUUUACGUUGUUUUAAUUCUGUUUCUCGGAUAGAAGUUUAUGUAACCUAUUUGUGGAACUUUCUUGCUAAUAAUAUAUUAGAUGAUUUCGUUUUAUAUAUUUAUAACGAUUAUCAAUUAACAAUCAAUUCAGAACUGGCACGGACUUGGGGAAUCCGACUGUCUAAUUAAAACAAAGCAU